CAAUGCUCAGCAAUCAGAGAGCAGCCGCCCCACUGUGGGGCCUUCCUUCUAGUGACAGACUCCUUCCUAAUCGCAACAUGCAAGUGACCGCCAUACAGCAAACCUUGGACAGGUGAGAACAUGCUUGGUGGAGAAGAAUGCCAUUCACAGGAGGAAACGCGAAGCGAUUAAAUCCGGCAAGCCUCUUUCUUUCCCACCCCCCAACGGAAGGGCUACCGGAUACCCUCGGCGUUAAAGGGCCGCCCUUGAAUUCAAACCAUCUCCGCCCCACAGGAAAGACUUGGCACCUCUCAGAAAGGCUACUUCGAGCUCUUUCAGGGCAAGCGACUGCCGCAACUCUUCACACACCGUUUCUCUCUCCUUUUUCUACGUUUUAAACAUUUUUCAAUUGACCUCGCAAGCCCAGGGCUAUAGGGAGAACAGAACUACAGGCAAAGUGCGUGUUGACUAAAUAAGGUACUCUACAUCCCAUCUCCUCAACGCUGAUUUCCCUCACUUGCUAAAGCCGGGGGUCACUUCUCACUCUCUCCCACCACCCAAAACCGAGGUGGAGAGUUCAGCAAAGGCAGCCGCACGAGAAGCAGCCAAGCGCUUUCUCGCCUGUCAGGUUCCCUAGUCCUCCGUCUCACCUGCGGCGGCGGCACCACCAAACGCGGGGCUUCCUCUCCGCCCGCAAGCGCAGAGACGCCCUGAGGCCUGGCUGCUCCGGCGACUGCGCUCCCCCAAGCUCCCCGCCCCUCAAGAGCAAGCAGAACCGUCGCUGUUGCUUGAAAGAGAGGAAGCGGCCACCAUGUUCCUUUCACCCCCUCAAGCGGCUGGAGGCGGAUCCGAGGCCCGCCCAGGAGGCGGUAGCGAGACUGGGGAAAAGAGAGAAGAGUCGCCGAAAGGCCGCGGGCGCUUCACUAGGAGGCGCCAAAGGGCAGCAGCUCUUCUCAUGAGGUGCCUCGGAAAGCUUUUCGUUGGGCGGACGUUGCCUCGGGGCUCAGCCCAGGCUCCGGAAUCUUUGAAUACGUUCACAGUACCACCACAUGUGAACAUAGGAUCCGCGGACCCCACAUCCUCUCCAGCACAAUGGUAAAAGUCCGGGUGUCCACAAAUUGGUAUCAAUGGGGAUAUCCCUGGCAUCAAUGAUUCCUUUCUGUAUUUCCAGAUCUUUAGUAUGGGACUAAUGCUUAUAUGUUGUUGUUGUAUUCCCUUUUUAAUUUCUUUUUUAAUAAAAGGUAAUACUGCAAGAUCUAUGUCUUGAAAUAAAGACUUUUCUAUACAUA